rnacentral:rRNA from 1 species
AACAGUUGGAAACGGCUGCUAAAACCGCAUAAGCGCACAGUAUCGCAUGAUACAGUGUGAAAAACUCCGGUGGUAUGAGAUGGACCCGCGUCUGAUUAGCUAGUUGGCGAGGUAACGGCCCACCAAGGCAACGAUCAGUAGCCGGCCUGAGAGGGUGAACGGCCACAUUGGGACUGAGACACGGCCCAAACUCCUACGGGAGGCAGCAGUGGGGAAUAUUGCACAAUGGGGGAAACCCUGAUGCAGCGACGCCGCGUGAGUGAUGAAGUAUUUCGGUAUGUAAAGCUCUAUCAGCAGGGAAGAUAAUGACGGUACCUGACUAAGAAGCACCGGCUAAAUACGUGCCAGCAGCCGCGGUAAUACGUAUGGUGCAAGCGUUAUCCGGAUUUACUGGGUGUAAAGGGUGCGUAGGUGGUGAGACAAGUCUGAAGUGAAAAUCCGGGGCUUAACCCCGGAACUGCUUUGGAAACUGCCUGACUAGAGUACAGGAGAGGUAAGUGGAAUUCCUAGUGUAGCGGUGAAAUGCGUAGAUAUUAGGAGGAACACCAGUGGCGAAGGCGACUUACUGGACUGCUACUGACACUGAGGCACGAAAGCGUGGGGAGCAAACAGGAUUAGAUACCC